UACGUAGGGUGCAAGCGUUAAUCGGAAUUACUGGGCGUAAAGCGCGUGCAGGCGGUCUGGUAAGUCGGACGUGAAAUCUCCUGGCUCAACUAGGAGAGGCCGUUCGAUACUGCCGGACUGGAGGGCAGCAGAGGGAGGUGGAAUUCCGGGUGUAGCGGUGAAAUGCGUAGAUAUCCGGAGGAACACCAGUGGCGAAAGCGGCCUCCUGGACUGUCCCUGACGCUAAGACGCGAAAGCUAGGGGAGUGAACGGG
rnacentral:rRNA from 1 species